rnacentral:tRNA from 1 species
GAGUUGCCGCGCCGGUGCAGGAACGAGCCGGUCUCCCGGACCGGCAGCUCCGGUUCGAGAAUCCGGCGCAGCGCACC